rnacentral:snRNA from 1 species
GUGCUCACUUCGGCAGCACAUACACUAAAAUUGGAAUGAUUCAGAGAAGAUUAGCAUGGCCCGCCCCUGCGUGAGGAUGACAUGUAAAUAUAAACACAGAGAAGUAUAUCAUUUUG